CUUUUCUAUGGAAGCUUGCUUCCACUGAGAAGAUAGUGGCGGACGGGUGAGUAACACGUGGGUAACCUGCCCAUAAGAGGGGGAUAACAUCCGGAAACGGGUGCUAAUACCGCAUAGUUUUCUUGAUCGCAUGAUUGAGAAAGGAAAGACGGCCUUUGUGCUGUCGCUUAUGGAUGGACCCGCGGCGUAUUAGUUAGUUGGUGAGGUAACGGCUCACCAAGACGAUGAUACGUAGCCGACCUGAGAGGGUGAUCGGCCACAUUGGGACUGAGACACGGCCCAAACUCCUACGGGAGGCAGCAGUAGGGAAUCUUCCGCAAUGGACGAAAGUCUGACGGAGCAACGCCGCGUGAGUGAAGAAGGUUUUCGGAUCGUAAAACUCUGUUGUCAGAGAAGAACAAGUCGGAGAGUAACUGCUCCGGCCUUGACGGUAUCUGACCAGAAAGCCACGGCUAACUACGUGCCAGCAGCCGCGGUAAUACGUAGGUGGCAAGCGUUGUCCGGAUUUAUUGGGCGUAAAGCGAGCGCAGGCGGUUCCUUAAGUCUGAUGUGAAAGCCCACGGCUCAACCGUGGAAGGUCAUUGGAAACUGGGGAACUUGAGUGCAGAAGAGGAGAGUGGAAUUCCAUGUGUAGCGGUGAAAUGCGUAGAUAUAUG
rnacentral:rRNA from 1 species